AUUGAACGCUGGUGGCAGGCUUAACACAUGCAAGUCGAACGGUAACAGGAAUUAGCUUGCUCAUUUGCUGACGAGUGGCAGACGGGUGAGUAAUGCUUGGGAAUCUGGCUUAUGGAGGGGGAUAACUACGGGAAACUGUAGCUAAUACCGCGUAAAAUCUUCGGAUUAAAGGGUGGGACUUUCGAGCCACCUGCCAUAAGAUGAGCCCAAGUGGGAUUAGGUAGUUGGUUAGGUAAAGGCUGACCAAGCCGACGAUCUCUAGCUGGUCUGAGAGGAUGACCAGCCACACUGGAACUGAGACACGGUCCAGACUCCUACGGGAGGCAGCAGUGGGGAAUAUUGCACAAUGGGGGGAACCCUGAUGCAGCCAUGCCGCGUGAAUGAAGAAGGCCUUCGGGUUGUAAAGUUCUUUCGGUGACGAGGAAGGUUGAUAGGUUAAUAGCCUAUCAAAUUGACGUUAAUCACAGAAGAAGCACCGGCUAACUCCGUG
rnacentral:rRNA from 1 species